ensembl:lncRNA
UGAAUCACCACAAGAUCCUCUCUGGAAGUUUAAUUGCAGCUGCACCUACCAAUUUCAGAAGUCAACCCUAAAAAGCAAGGUCGAACGUUUUCUUGAAGCUUAUUCUAUAGCUUCUACACAAUCCAAGUACAUAAUUGCAGAAAAAAUAUCACUCAGUACCAUCCCCAUUCGCCAACUCCCAAAAGCAGAGCUGUCGUUCCCGUAAACAGGAGCAGGAACCAGUUUGGAUGUUUCCCUUUGUUUCAGUGCUGCAGAUGGACACAAUCAGCUGAGGGGCCUCCCCCAGUGCUGGCUGGGGCCAGGGCAGAAAGGAGAGCAACCAGGGAGCAAAAGGCAAACUUUUCCAUCUGUGGGUGGAGUCGGACAGCCGUUGUUCUCCCAUCUCUGCUCCGCCUGGUUGUUCCUCCCCAGAUUCCUGUUUCGGUCCAAUCCCGCUUUGGGGCUCCAAAUGCUAAAACAAACCUUUGGAUGUAUGACAAAGGUACACCCAUACAUCUCUGAAACAAUCUUAAAGGCUAACAAAAACCAACCGGUUACACCAAAAAGCGAUCAGUACUAAAUCCACUUACCGUGUAGCAGUUCAACUUGCUGUCCUGUUUAUCCUGUCCCUCCCGGGCAAGGAAGAUCACCUGAGGGAAGCGCACUGAGCACCAAACGUUCUCUCUCACAAGCUCGUGUCAACGUUUUCCCUGGCUUUUCUCUCUGAGAAAAAAUGUUACAUGCAUUCCUAAGAUCCUUCUCCACUCAAUUGGCAAGGCUUUUAUUCUUUCUAGAGGUCCAAGUUCAAGCAAAGGAAGAAAAGCCGUUCUCAUCAAGGCUCAGACACCACACAGCUUUGUGGGCUGCAAGGGAACUGAGAGAGACCACAUCGCCUUCAGUGCAACAGAGGCCAUUUCGAGCAGCAGUUCCCCAGAGCCCUUGCAUUGGCACAAGCAGGAGGGUGAGGAAGCCCAGCACAGCAGAGCAGCAGGACGAGGUAUGCUGCGCCACACCACUCUACUACAAGGGGCAGCUUGCUUUGGAGAGCUGUCCCUGACCAGGGCACAAGAGGCAUUUCAAUGGUCUGCCUGGAAUCACUGCAGCUGGAGGCAGGGAGUGCGCAUCAUACCGCUGCCUUGAUCAGCCUCUUCUGCACAGGAUGCAAAACCAAACCACCACACUUGCUCAGCAAGCACUGCACUGGCACAGACGUGCUCCUCUGCAGUCAUCUCCAAAAAGAAUGCAUCCAUCCGGAGGUAGAAACGAGGACGCCUCUGAGGGCUCAGAAUCUUGCUUGCCAAGACAGAUCUGGUUCACACGUUAC